AGGUUGGAGCUACACUGCUUGGUCCCACUUGGGAAGGAGCAGAGAGGAGAGCUGUGAACAUCAUGUGCAAUGGCUUUACUCUUUACCAUCUCUGAAGAGGACAGAUCUUGCUGUGUUGCUCAGCUGAAGUAUGGUGUUGUGAUCAAAACUCACUGCAGCCUGGAACUCCUGGGCUCAAGACAUCCUCCUGCCUUGGCUCCCGAGUAGCUGGGACCACAGGUGCAAGCCUCUGCACUGCAGUGCUCCUCUGCAGCAACCUCAGAACAGUGGCCCACACUCCUAGAAUUUGAGAAAAUGGCAUCUUCUUCAGAGGACAGAGGUUCGUAGUCUCAGUGGUUUAUUCACCUGCUACAGCUCAGCAUGUGAUGUGGUUUUGCUGUGUCCCCACCCAAUUGUCAUCUUGAAUUGCAGCUCCCAUAAUUCCUAUGUGUUGUGGGAGGGACCUGGUGGGAGGUAAUUGAAUCAUGAGGGUCUUUCCCGUGUGCUGGUCUCCUGAUAGUGAAUAAGUCUCACAAGAUCUGAUGUUUUUUUUUUUUUUUUUUUUUUUUUGAGACAGAGUCUCACUCUUGUCACCCAGGCUGGAGUGCAGUGGUGCGAUCUUGGCUCACUGCAACCUAAGCCUCCUGGGUUCAAGCAAUUCUCCUGUCUCAGCCUCCCAGGUAGCUGGCAUUACAAGCACCCACCACCAUGCCCAGCUAAUUUUUCGAUUUUAGUAGAGACGGGGUUUCACCAUAUUGGCCAGGCUGGUCUCGAACUCCUGACCUCAGGUGAUCCACCCACCUCGGCCUCCCAAAGUGCUGGGAUUACAGGCGUGAGCCACUGUGCCUGGCCGAGAUCUGAUGGUUUUAUAAAGAGGAGUUCCCCUGCACAAGCACUCUUGCCUGCUGCCAUGUAAGACGUGUCUUGCUUCCCCUUUGCCCUCCAUCAUGAUUGUGAGGCCUCCCCAGCCAUGUCCACAUGUGAGUCAAUUAAACCUCAUUCCUUUAUAAAUUACCCAGUCUCGGGUAUGUCUUUAUACCCGAGCAUGAGAACAGACUAAUAUGGCAUGAUACUCUGGAUCCUAGUAUUUGCAAUUUGAAUUUUGGAUGAGUUACUUCCCCUUUUAGAGCCAUAGUAUCUGUCUGUAAUGAGAAUUUUUUUCCCUUAAUCUCCUUUUCUAGCUUAGAGUAGCCUAAAAGAGAGUUACUCUUUUAGGCCUUUCAGCUUUUUUCCUUUUUAAAAGUGAGAUAGCAUACUUUUUGGUCAUCUCACACUCCCAGUGAGGCUUUCUGGGCCUCCCUUUCUCUGUUUCCUCCCUUCCCUUCCUACUGGCAGAAGUGUGGAUUGUGGAGAGCCUCAUGACCCAUGACUCAUGCCUAGGUUGCCUGGCUACAGGGUGACAAUUCUGCCCAGUGUCUGGCUGCCGUGAACAUGUCUGAUGUCUGGAGAUUUCUCUGGAUCUUCCAUGGACGAUGUUCUGAGAACCCCUUGUUAGGAUGAAACCCUGAGGUGCUGUCUUGCCUUAUGAUAUUAAAAAAAGACACGAUGCAGCUAGUGCGGAGUUUUAUUGGCUACAAAAUAGAUGCAAAAUGAUGAGAAUCUGAAGGCUGCAGUAGGAA
rnacentral:lncRNA from 10 species